rnacentral:rRNA from 1 species
AUGGGGAGUAGUAGUAAAUUGGGGGAAGGCAUGGAGGAGAAGGGGGGGAGGGUGGGGAUGGGCAAGUACGCGGCCAGGCGGGGCUGGAGGCGCCUGGCGGCGGUCGCCUGGCUGGUGGCGGCGGUGGCCUGCUCGGCCGCCGUGCACUGGCAGCUGCGCCGGGAGACCAUGGAGCGCGCCGAGGAGCGGCUCGUCAGCAUGUGCGAGGAGCGGGCCAGGAUGCUGCAGGAGCAGUUCGGCGUCACCGUCAACCACGUCCACGCGCUCGCCAUCCUCAUCUCCACCUUCCACUUCGAGAAGAACCCCUCCGCCCUCGACCAGGAUACUUUUGCGAAGUACACGGCAAGGACAUCAUUCGAGCGUCCACUGCUAAAUGGGGUGGCUUACGCACAGCGCCUCUUCCCUCACGAGAAGGAAACGUUUGAAAGACAGCAUGGAUGGAUUAUGAGGACUAUGAAUCGAGAGGCUGCACCUCUCCAAGAUGAGUAUGCCCCGGUGAUUUUCUCCCAGGAUACGGUCUCCUACCUUGCGCGCAUGGACAUGAUGUCUGGGGAGGAGGACCGAGAAAACAUCUUGCGUGCGAGGGAAACUGGCAAACCUGUGUUAACAAACCCAUUUCGGCUUCUUGGGUCGAACCACUUGGGCGUAGUACUCACUUUUGCAGUGUAUCGCCCUGAUCUACCUGCUGAUGCAUCAGUUGAGCAACGUGUGGAAGCAACUGCUGGCUAUCUUGGUGGAGCUUUUGAUGUGGAGUCACUUGUGGAAAAUUUGCUGAGUAAACUUGCUGGCAAUCAGGAUAUAUUGGUGAAUGUGUAUGACGUCACAAAUGCUUCAGAGCCUAUGGCCAUGUAUGGAUCUCAAACACCAGAUAAUAAAGUGGACCUCUUGCAUGUUAGCAUGCUUGAUUUUGGAGAUCCGUUUAGGAAGCAUGAAAUGAGGUAUGGGCAAAAGCCUCCAUUGCCGUGGUCUGCUAUUAGUAAUCCUAUGGGCUGCUUUGUCAUAUGGAUGCUUAUUGGGUAUAUAAUUUGUGCUGCAUGGUCUCGGUAUGACAAAGUUUCAGAGGAUUGUAGAAAAAUGGAAGAGCUCAAAACUCAAGCAGAAGCUGCUGAUAUUGCAAAGUCUCAGUUUCUGGCAACUGUAUCUCAUGAAAUUAGAACUCCUAUGAACGGCGUCCUUGGGAUGCUGGACAUGCUUUUGGGGACAGAUCUGACUAUGACUCAGAAAGAUUUUGCUCAGACCGCUCAGGAUUGUGGCAAAGCAUUGAUAAUACUGAUAAAUGAUGUCCUUGAUCGAGCAAAGUUUGAAGCUGGAAGGUUGGAACUUGAGGAAGUGCCUUUUGACUUGCGAACGCUGACGGACGAUGUGAUCUCCUUGUUUGCCUCAAAGUUAAGAGCGAAGUGCAUAGAGCUUGCAGUGUUUGUGAGUGACGAUGUUCCAAAACUUGUCACCGGAGAUCCUUGGAGAUUUCGACAGAUACUGACAAAUUUAGUGGGCAAUGCAGUCAAAUUCACAGAACGGGGCCAUGUUUUUGUGCGGGUCUCUCUGGCUGAGAACUCAACUAUGGAAGCUAAACGAGCCCCCAAUGGAAACCUCAAUGGGAAAGAUUGUAAAGUUGAGCCUACAGCUAAUGGUGCCUUCAAUACUUUGAGUGGGUUUCAAGCUGCGGAUGAACGAAAUAGCUGGGAAUAUUUUAAGCUGUUGCUCUCUGAUAAGGAGUUACUUUCUGAUGAGCUCGAGGGUAAAAAAUCUAGCCAAAAUGAUUCCGAUCACGUGACCUUGAUGAUAAGCAUUGAGGAUACAGGUGUUGGUAUCCCACUGCAUGCACAAGAUCGUGUUUUUACGCCUUUUAUGCAGGCAGAUAGUUCAACUUCAAGGAAUUAUGGUGGAACUGGUAUUGGUUUAAGCAUCAGCAAAUGUUUGGCUGAACUUAUGGGCGGGCAAAUAAGUUUCAUCAGCCGUCCUUCCAUUGGGAGUACAUUUACAUUCUCAGCGGUUGUGAAGCGUGCAUCCAAAGAUACUUCAUGUGCUUCAGAGAGGAGCUUGUCCGAGGCACUACCAACUGCCUUUAGGGGAAUGAAGGCGAUUUUGGUAGACGGGAAACCUGUGCGUAGUGCUGUGACAAGAUAUCACCUUAACAGGCUGGGAAUAAUUGUUCAAGUUGUGAAUAAUAUGAGUAUGGGAAUUCAAGCCUUUGGGAAAAAUGGUGCAACAGAGUCAAGAGAAAAACCGUCGAUGCUUUUUAUUGAGAAUGACAUCUGGAGGCCCGAGACAGAUACUCAGUUACCGAGUCGUCUACGUACGCUCGGGAUGAAUGGUCAGGCGCAUGAGCUACCCAAGCUGAUCCUUUUGGUCACAUCUGAAGCUGACAAGGACAAGUACGGAUCCACGUUCAAUACUGUGAUGUGUAAACCCUUAAGAGCAAGCACAAUUGCUUCUUGUCUACAGCAGUUGCUAAAAGUAGAUAUACCUGCAAGGAAAGAAAAUCAAAAUAGGCCCUCAUUUCUUCGUAGCCUGCUGGUUGGGAAGAAUAUAUUGGUUGUAGAUGACAAUAAAGUAAAUCUACGGGUUGCUCAAGCCGCACUGAAGAAGUAUGGUGCCAAGGUUCAUUGUGUUGAAAGUGGCAAGGAUGCUAUCUCCCUACUUCAACCUCCACAUUGCUUCCAUGCAUGUUUUAUGGACGUUCAAAUGCCUGAGAUGGAUGGGUUCGAGGCUACUAGACAAAUACGAGAAAUGGAGAAGAAAGCGAACGAGGAAAAGAGAGAACAGUCGAGUUCAGGGGAAGGUUCGACAUUUGUUGAGUGGCAUUUGCCUGUUCUUGCAAUGACGGCUGACGUCAUUCAGGCGACCUACGAAGAGUGUAUGAAAUCGGGGAUGGAUGGCUAUGUGUCCAAACCGUUCGACGAGCAGCAGCUAUACCAAGCGGUCUCCAGAUUAGUGGUGGGAACAACUGAUUCGGCCUCAUGA